rnacentral:rRNA from 1 species
UACAGAGGUGGCAAGCGUUGUUCGGAAUUACUGGGCGUAAAGGGCGCGUAGGCGGUUCGUUAAGUCCUGUGUGAAAUCCCCCGGCUCAACUGGGGAACUGCACAGGAAACUAGCGGGCUUGAGUUCGGGAGAGGGAAGCGGAAUUCCCAGUGUAGCGGUGAAAUGCGUAGAUAUUGGGAGGAACACCAGUGGCGAAGGCGGGUCUCUGGGCCGAUACUGACGCUGAGGAGCGAAAGCGUGGGGAGCAAACAGG